GAAUAAAUGAAUGAACAAAGCUAAAAUAUGGGCUAUAGGAUACUCAUGUAAACAAGACCAGGAGAUGUAGCUUUGGGAAGCCAUGGGAGUGGACGAAAUUACCUUGGAGAGAGGAGGUAAAGCUCUAGACAGGAGAUACAAACUCACAAGCCGUGGAUUUCGGGGCUGAAAAGACAAACAAGAAGUACGUUCGUAAUCACCAGCACAGUCACCUCUGCCGAGCUGCGACCACAGCUAAUUCCAGGGAUAAGAACAGCUGUCAGCAGCCAGAGUCCAGCUCAGCCUCAGAAGGAAGAGCACCUCUCCCCAGAAAUUGAGAAGAGGAAAGUUUCAGAGGGUACUUGGUUGGACUGGUCCAGUACAGCUCAUGCAACCGUGCCUAACCCAUGAAUGUGGUCAGAGGAACGAGAUGACCCAGUUGGUGAGGGCUGGGCUGUGUUCUGACUCCUGCGUGUAUGGGGGUGGGGGAGGGGUAGCUCUAGUCUAAGACACGAGCAAUGAGUUCUGAGAGGGAAAGGCCGCCUAUUCCUUGUGUGUACU